CAAUAUAUGAGACCGGCGCACGGGUGCGUAACGCGUAUGCAAUCUACCUUUUACAGAGGGAUAGCCCAGAGAAAUUUGGAUUAAUACCUCAUAGUAUAUUUUGAUGGCAUCAUCAGAUUAUUAAAGUUCCAACGGUAAAAGAUGAGCAUGCGUCCUAUUAGCUAGUUGGUGUGGUAACGGCACACCAAGGCUACGAUAGGUAGGGGUCCUGAGAGGGAGAUCCCCCACACUGGUACUGAGACACGGACCAGACUCCUACGGGAGGCAGCAGUGAGGAAUAUUGGACAAUGGGCGCAAGCCUGAUCCAGCCAUGCCGCGUGCAGGAAGACGCAUCUAUGGUGUGUAAACUGCUUUUGUACGGGAAGAAACACUCCUACGUGUAGGAGCUUGACGGUACCGUAAGAAUAAGGAUCGGCUAACUCCGUGCCAGCAGCCGCGGUAAUACGGAGGAUCCAAGCGUUAUCCGGAAUCAUUGGGUUUAAAGGGUCCGUAGGCGGUUUGAUAAGUCAGUGGUGAAAGCCCAUCGCUCAGCGAUGGAACGGCCAUUGAUACUGUCAGACUUGAAUUACUGGGAAGUAACUAGAAUAUGUAGUGUAGCGGUGAAAUGCUUAGAUAUUACAUGGAAUACCAAUUGCGAAGGCAGGUUACUACCAGUGGAUUGACGCUGAUGGA
rnacentral:rRNA from 1 species